GACGAACGCUGGCGGCGUGCCUAACACAUGCAAGUCGUGCGAUUGAGAGGUGAGCAUCUCACUUCUCAAGAGCGGCGGACGGGUGAGUAAUGCGUGAACAAUCUACCGGCAAGACUGGGACAACACCGGGAAACUGGUGCUAAUACCGGAUAAUCUCCACCGGCGGCAUCGUUGGUGGAGGAAAGUCGGCCUCUGGAUAUACUGGCGCUUGUCGAUGAGUUCACGUCCCAUUAGCUUGUUGGUGGGGUAACGGCCCACCAAGGCGACGAUGGGUAGCCGGCCUGAGAGGGUGGUCGGCCACACUGGGACUGAGACACGGCCCAGACUCCUACGGGAGGCAGCAGUGGGGAAUCUUCCGCAAUGGGCGCAAGCCUGACGGAGCGACGCCGCGUGAGGGACGAAGGCCUUCGGGUUGUAAACCUCUUUUCUGGGGGAAGAACGUCCGGCCUGUUAAUAGCGGGUUGGGUUGACGGUACCUCAGGAAUAAGCCCCGGCUAACUACGUGCCAGCAGCCGCGGUAAUACGUAGGGGGCGAGCGUUGUCCGGAAUCACUGGGCGUAAAGGGCGCGUAGGCGGCUUGAGAAGUCGCAGGUGAAAUCCCGCGGCUCAACCGUGGAACUGCCUGCGAAACCAUUGGGCUUGAGGACAGGAGAGGGAAGCGGAAUUCCCUGGUGUAGCGGUGAAAUGCGUAGAUAUCAGGAGGAACACCAGUGGCGAAGGCGGCUUUUCUGGCCGGUCCUGACGCUGAGGCGCGAAAGCNAGG
rnacentral:rRNA from 1 species